rnacentral:rRNA from 1 species
UGGUGGAGUGAUUUGUCUGCUUAAUUGCGAUAACGAACGAGACCUUAACCUGCUAAAUAGCCAGGCUAGCUUUGGCUGGCCGCCGGCUUCUUAGAGGGACUAUCGGCUCAAGCCGAUGGAAGUUUGAGGCAAUAACA